UUAAGCGACUAAGCGUACACGGUGGAUGCCCUGGCAGUCAGAGGCGAUGAAGGACGUGCUAAUCUGCGAAAAGCGCCGGCGAGGUGAUAUGAACCUUUGACCCGGCGAUGUCCGAAUGGGGAAACCCAGUGCAAUUCGUUGCACUAUCGUUAACUGAAUACAUAGGUUAACGAGGCGAACCGGGGGAACUGAAACAUCUAAGUACCCCGAGGAAAAGAAAUCAACCGAGAUUCCCCCAGUAGCGGCGAGCGAACGGGGAGCAGCCCAGAGUCUGAAUCAGCUUGUGUGUUAGUGGAAGCGUCUGGAAAGUCGCACGGUACAGGGUGACAGUCCCGUACACGAAAAUGCACAGGUUGUGAACUCGAAGAGUAGGGCGGGACACGUGGUAUCCUGUCUGAAUAUGGGGGGACCAUCCUCCAAGGCUAAAUACUCCUGACUGACCGAUAGUGAACCAGUACCGUGAGGGAAAGGCGAAAAGAACCCCGGCGAGGGGAGUGAAAAAGAACCUGAAACCGUGUACGUACAAGCAGUGGGAGCACCUUCGUGGUGUGACUGCGUACCUUUUGUAUAAUGGGUCAGCGACUUAUAUUCUGUAGCAAGGUUAACCGUAUAGGGGAGCCGAAGGGAAACCGAGUCUUAACUGGGCGUUAAGUUGCAGGGUAUAGACCCGAAACCCGGUGAUCUAGCCAUGGGCAGGUUGAAGGUUGGGUAACACUAACUGGAGGACCGAACCGACUAAUGUUGAAAAAUUAGCGGAUGACUUGUGGCUGGGGGUGAAAGGCCAAUCAAACCGGGAGAUAGCUGGUUCUCCCCGAAAGCUAUUUAGGUAGCGCCUCGUGAACUCAUCUUCGGGGGUAGAGCACUGUUUCGGCUAGGGGGCCAUCCCGGCUUACCAACCCGAUGCAAACUACGAAUACCGAAGAAUGUUAUCACGGGAGACACACGGCGGGUGCUAACGUCCGUCGUGAAGAGGGAAACAACCCAGACCGCCAGCUAAGGUCCCAAAGUCAUGGUUAAGUGGGAAACGAUGUGGGAAGGCACAGACAGCCAGGAUGUUGGCUUAGAAGCAGCCAUCAUUUAAAGAAAGCGUAAUAGCUCACUGGUCGAGUCGGCCUGCGCGGAAGAUGUAACGGGGCUAAACCAUGCACCGAAGCUGCGGCAGCGACACUAUGUGUUGUUGGGUAGGGGAGCGUUCUGUAAGCCGUUGAAGGUGGCCUGUGAGGGUUGCUGGAGGUAUCAGAAGUGCGAAUGCUGACAUAAGUAACGAUAAAGCGGGUGAAAAGCCCGCUCGCCGGAAGACCAAGGGUUCCUGUCCAACGUUAAUCGGGGCAGGGUGAGUCGACCCCUAAGGCGAGGCCGAAAGGCGUAGUCGAUGGGAAACAGGUUAAUAUUCCUGUACUUGGUGUUACUGCGAAGGGGGGACGGAGAAGGCUAUGUUAGCCGGGCGACGGUUGUCCCGGUUUAAGCAUGUAGGCGGAACGAUUAGGUAAAUCCGGUCGUUUAUUAACGCUGAGGUGUGAUGACGAGGCACUACGGUGCUGAAGUAACAAAUGCCCUGCUUCCAGGAAAAGCCUCUAAGCAUCAGGUAACAUCAAAUCGUACCCCAAACCGACACAGGUGGUCAGGUAGAGAAUACCAAGGCGCUUGAGAGAACUCGGGUGAAGGAACUAGGCAAAAUGGUGCCGUAACUUCGGGAGAAGGCACGCUGAUAUGUAGGUGAAGCCCCUGCGGGUGGAGCUGAAAUCAGUCGAAGAUACCAGCUGGCUGCAACUGUUUAUUAAAAACACAGCACUGUGCAAACACGAAAGUGGACGUAUACGGUGUGACGCCUGCCCGGUGCCGGAAGGUUAAUUGAUGGGGUUAGCGGCAACGCGAAGCUCUUGAUCGAAGCCCCGGUAAACGGCGGCCGUAACUAUAACGGUCCUAAGGUAGCGAAAUUCCUUGUCGGGUAAGUUCCGACCUGCACGAAUGGCGUAAUGAUGGCCAGGCUGUCUCCACCCGAGACUCAGUGAAAUUGAACUCGCUGUGAAGAUGCAGUGUACCCGCGGCAAGACGGAAAGACCCCGUGAACCUUUACUAUAGCUUGACACUGAACACUGGUCCUUGAUGUGUAGGAUAGGUGGGAGGCUUUGAAGUGUGGACGCCAGUCUGCAUGGAGCCGUCCUUGAAAUACCACCCUUUAAUGGCUGGUGUUCUAACGUAGACCCGUGAUCCGGGUUGCGGACAGUGUCUGGUGGGUAGUUUGACUGGGGCGGUCUCCUCCCAAAGAGUAACGGAGGAGCACGAAGGUUAGCUAAUCCUGGUCGGACAUCAGGAGGUUAGUGCAAUGGCAUAAGCUAGCUUGACUGCGAGAGUGACGGCUCGAGCAGGUGCGAAAGCAGGUCAUAGUGAUCCGGUGGUUCUGAAUGGAAGGGCCAUCGCUCAACGGAUAAAAGGUACUCCGGGGAUAACAGGCUGAUACCGCCCAAGAGUUCAUAUCGACGGCGGUGUUUGGCACCUCGAUGUCGGCUCAUCACAUCCUGGGGCUGAAGUAGGUCCCAAGGGUAUGGCUGUUCGCCAUUUAAAGUGGUACGCGAGCUGGGUUUAGAACGUCGUGAGACAGUUCGGUCCCUAUCUGCCGUGGGCGCUGGAGAAUUGAGGGGGGCUGCUCCUAGUACGAGAGGACCGGAGUGGACGCAUCACUGGUGUUCGGGUUGUCAUGCCAAUGGCACUGCCCGGUAGCUAAAUGCGGAAAAGAUAAGUGCUGAAAGCAUCUAAGCACGAAACUUGCCCCGAGAUGAGUUCUCCCUGAGACUUUAAGUCUCCUGAAGGAACGUUGAAGACGACGACGUUGAUAGGUCGGGUGUGUAAGCGCAGCGAUGCGUUGAGCUAACCGAUACUAAUGAACCGUGAGGCUUAACCUU
rnacentral:rRNA from 1 species